AAGGUCUCACUCUGUUACCCAUGCUGGUCUCCAACUCCUGGAAUCAAGCGAUCCUCCUGCCUUGACCCCCAAAGGUGCUGGGAUUAUAGGUGUGAGCCACUGUGCACAACCAACAGAGAGGAUUUAAUACAGGGUGAAGAAAAGAACAUUUAGAAACCAGAUGUUGUAUUAACUAUAACCAUUAUCCUUUAUGGGAUCCCAGAGGUUUAAUCUCUAUCCAUAAACAGAACAUUAUUGAUAAAGGAUCAACAGCAAUCUACCAACUCCAGGACCAUUUUUGCAAGGUGCAAAUCACUCCUAAAGACAAUGUUGGAAUGUUUACUUGUGUAUUUCAUUGGGG